rnacentral:tRNA from 1 species
UCAGUAGCUGAGUGGAUGACGCGAUGGCGUUUGUGGCGAAAGGUACUGGGUUCAAGUCCCAGAGUGA